rnacentral:lncRNA from 1 species
CUUCUCCAUAAGCUCUGAGAACUCUCUCUAAAUAUUGAGUUUUUAGUCCAUUUUAAGAGUCAUUUCAGAGAUAAAUUAAUUAGUUUGUAUGUAGUUUUAUCGAUUUUUGUAAUAAAAUCUGACAAAAUCAUAAAAGAGAAAAAUAAGGAAAAAAGCGUUGAACCAUAGAAGUCGACCCGAACCACACAACUUUGCAGCCAUGCUAUUUUAUUUACAAGUUUAUCGCUGAUGAGGCUUGGGGUGUUCCAGAUGUUUUAGUGAGAAUACAUGGAGCUAGGAGUCAACUAUUGUCCAUCUCACACAACGAACUAUACGCCCUGCACCACGAUAAUGGAACAACAAGGCAAAAAAAUUCACUAGGACUGGAGCAACCAAAGCUAUUUAGGAGCCAAGAAAUCAUCAACCAAUGAUCAUUUUCUUGUGUUUUAUUAAUCAUAUAUAUAUUUUUAUAUGUUUAGGAACUAUGAGUAGCUUAUCAUAUCUAGGUUAGGUCAUAAAAAUUAAAGUACUUCCCUGUAAUUAUUCAAUAAU